UCUCGGUAUCGAAUAAGUUAACUCAAUUUGUAUGGAGUUGAAACAUCUGCCUACGUUUGCCGCUAGGGGCGCUGUUCCAACUGCAUACAAAAUUGGGCUAACUUUAACGCUAUCGA
rnacentral:pre_miRNA from 9 species